UCCUCGUGCGCCAUCGUCGGUCGUUCUUGCAUCCUUCUCCACCACCUCAUUUGCUGUUUGCGCAGAAAAGACAACCACCAUCAUACUGUUGCUUCCCCCUCCUCGCAUCCCAUCAUGAAUCGUCCAUGCAGCACUCUCACAUCAUCGCCACUCUUCCGUUGCACUGCCGUCUAAUCUGCACCACUCGCACCCACGCUGCUCGCCCGACGCAUCCUCGUCACUCGCGACUCUCAUCCCAUCGCUCGCAUCCUCUGCUUUUUGCAGUUCUAUCACGCUCGAGCUAUCCAUGCUCGCACCGGCCCCCUCCUUCCUUGCCGAUUACAAGGGCUCCGUAGACAAGGCUUCUGAGAUUCCUAAUACAGAACAUGUAUCAAGGCUAUGCCGAAGAAAGAAGAUCUAAGCUUGGUUAAUA